AUGAACGCUAGCUACAGGCUUAACACAUGCAAGUCGAGGGGCAGCAUUUUAGUUUGCUUGCAAACUGAAGAUGGCGACCGGCGCACGGGUGAGUAACACGUAUCCAACCUGCCGAUAACUCCGGAAUAGCCUUUCGAAAGAAAGAUUAAUACCGGAUAGCAUACGAAUAUCGCAUGAUAUUUUUAUUAAAGAAUUUCGGUUAUCGAUGGGGAUGCGUUCCAUUAGUUUGUUGGCGGGGUAACGGCCCACCAAGACAACGAUGGAUAGGGGUUCUGAGAGGAAGGUCCCCCACAUUGGAACUGAGACACGGUCCAAACUCCUACGGGAGGCAGCAGUGAGGAAUAUUGGUCAAUGGGCGAGAGCCUGAACCAGCCAAGUAGCGUGAAGGAUGAAGGCUCUAUGGGUCGUAAACUUCUUUUAUAUGGGAAUAAAGUUUUCCACGUGUGGAAUUUUGUAUGUACCAUAUGAAUAAGGAUCGGCUAACUCCGUGCCAGCAGCCGCGGUAAUACGGAGGAUCCGAGCGUUAUCCGGAUUUAUUGGGUUUAAAGGGAGCGUAGGUGGAUUGUUAAGUCAGUUGUGAAAGUUUGCGGCUCAACCGUAAAAUUGCAGUUGAAACUGGCAGUCUUGAGUACAGUAGAGGUGGGCGGAAUUCGUGGUGUAGCGGUGAAAUGCUUAGAUAUCACGAAGAACUCCGAUUGCGAAGGCAGCUCACUAGACUGUCACUGACACUGAUGCUCGAAAGUGUGGGUAUCAAACAAGAUUAGAUACCCUGGUAGUCCACACAGUAAACGAUGAAUACUCGCUGUUUGCGAUAUACAGUAAGCGGCCAAGCGAAAGCAUUAAGUAUUCCACCUGGGGAGUACGCCGGCAACGGUGAAACUCAAAGGAAUUGACGGGGGCCCGCACAAGCGGAGGAACAUGUGGUUUAAUUCGAUGAUACGCGAGGAACCUUACCCGGGCUUAAAUUGCAACAGAAUAUAUUGGAAACAGUAUAGCCGUAAGGCUGUUGUGAAGGUGCUGCAUGGUUGUCGUCAGCUCGUGCCGUGAGGUGUCGGCUUAAGUGCCAUAACGAGCGCAACCCUUAUCUUUAGUUACUAACAGGUGAUGCUGAGGACUCUAGAGAGACUGCCGUCGUAAGAUGUGAGGAAGGUGGGGAUGACGUCAAAUCAGCACGGCCCUUACGUCCGGGGCUACACACGUGUUACAAUGGGGGGUACAGAAGGCGGCUACCUGGUGACAGGAUGCUAAUCCCAAAAACCUCUCUCAGUUCGGAUCGAAGUCUGCAACCCGACUUCGUGAAGCUGGAUUCGCUAGUAAUCGCGCAUCAGCCAUGGCGCGGUGAAUACGUUCCCGGGCCUUGUACACACCGCCCGUCAACCCAUGAAAGCCGGGGGUACCUGAAGUACGUAACCGCAAGGAGCGUCCUAGGGUAAAACUGGUAAUUGGGGC
rnacentral:rRNA from 1 species